GCUUUACUCAAACUCCGGGAGUUGACUAUGAUGAAACUGUUGGAUUAGUGUCUAAGUCCAUAACUAUUUUGGUAUGUACUUGACCCGAUGGUGCAUGGUCCUUUUGGGUUGCCUUCACCAAAUCAACUUGAUAGGAUGAAUUAUGGAGAGAAAGGAUUAAUUAUGAUUUAUUAAUAUAUUAUGAGAAUAAUAUAUUAAAGGAGAAAUCAUAUUGUUUAAUUAAUAUUAGUCAAGAAUUAAUUGGUAAUUAGUUUUGUGGCUAAAAGAGAUUAAUUAAACUUAAGGGACUGGAAUUGUAAUUAUAAGAUAAUUGCAAUUGGGCUAUGGAUUACCUUAUAAUAUAAGGUUGGACGAAUUCUAUGGGGAAACCCAUUAGAAAUCGUCCAAGGCUUAUUAAAGAAGGGUCCAUGGGCUGCUUAGGGCUUAAGCAGUCAGUUUAGGGUUUCCUAGUUCAAAACCCUAAUAGCCUACAUGUAUAUAAAGUACCCUUAAGCCCCAAAAACGUGGUGAACAUGUUCCUUAGGGUUUUCACACGUUUUGGGCAGCCUCCUUCUCUUCUCCUCUUCAUCCUCUUGCUCUUGGUGUUUGUGAACCAUUAGAGGAGUGACAUUUGUGACUCUAAGCUUUCUAAAGUCAUUACAAGGAGGAUUUGAGAUUGUUAUUGCUACAUAACAAUCAAGGUAUGAUCUAAACCCUAAUUCAUAUGUUAUAUUGAUUAUCAUAUACUAGAUCUAGGGUUUAUAGUCUUGGAUGAAUUGCAUGUACAAUAGAGAAACCUAGAUCCAAGCAUUAGGGUUUGUAUGAGCACAUAGGAUGUUCUUAUGGCUAAAACCCAUCAGUGGUAUCAGAGCCUUGAUUGGUUUCUAUUGUAUUGAUGCCUUGUAUGUUUGUUCAAGUUGUAAAAUCGAGUUUUGAGCUCCCUGCCUGAUGAACUCGGCGAGUACCACAGUGUACUCGGCGAGUAGGCCUCAACUCGGCGAGUACAGUGUGGUACUCGGCGAGUUCGAGCGUCAGAUGGAGCUAUUUUCGGGAUUUCUUGCUGUUUUACUCAUGGAUACUUGCCUUAUCUGUUUUAGGUCAUUAAAAUCCGAUUUUAUACAUAUUUAUGAGUAUAUCCUUGAUUAAACAAAAGAUAAUUACCAAUUGAUUAGAUAAUAACUUCCUUAUAUGAUAAAGUUUGAUUAUUUGUAUUAAUUGGGUAACUUAUUUUGCAAGAAAUUGAAAUUAGGUCAAAUAUAGAUAAUGAUAAAAUUAAUUGUUUAAUUUAUAUUAUUUGUUAUUUGAUCCUUGUGUUAUGAAAAGUUUCAAUUUUCCCCUUUAGGUUUUAUAGUUUAAAUUUGAACUCAAAAGUUUUGUUUUGAAAUUUAAAUAGUUGAAACCCUAAUGUUUUGAAAAGGUUUCAAAACUUGCCCUCAAGUUUUGGAAUUUAAAUUUUGAUUAAAAGUUUAAUUUUGAUGUACAUUUAAAUUCUAAACCCUAAUGUUUUGAAAUGUUUCAAAACUUGCCCUCAAGUUUUGGAAUUUAAAAGUUGAUUAAAAGUUUAAUUUAGGAAUGUUAAAUUCUAAAACCCUAGUAUUGUUUUGAAAAGUUCAAAUCACACCCUUAUGGUUUUAUUAAUUAAUUAAGGUGUAUAAUUAAAAGAGGUUUAAUAAAUCCAUAAAAGUUUAGGUUUACAAUUUAAUUGAAUUAAAAGUAUAAUUGUUAAAUUUGACCACCUAGUAUUUUAAAAGUGUAAAAUACACCCUAUACUAUAUAUAACAUUAAAAGUCUAACAUUAUAUAUAUGUAUGAGUAAAAGUCAGUCUUACCGUUAGUAGGCCUCAUUCACGAAGCUGGUCUAUAAGGGGUGUUUAAGGAAAUUGCCUAUAAAAUGGCGAUUGAAUGGGUAUCCACUCUUACCCACCGCACUCUUGACUAGUGGAGGGUCGUUAGCCGAACGGGUAGGAUAGGACAAAACCUUCCAUUAUAAGUAUAAUGAAUUACAAAAGUAACUAAAUGUUUUACAAAUUCCCAAUCUUAGUUACUUAGGCAAAAGUGAAUUGAUGCAAUUCCAUGAAAUUACACUUUGUGCCCUUGCGAAGACGUUAGUGGAGCGUGUGUGGUUUACCGGCACACUAAAUGGUUCUAAGCAAAGGUAGCAAAGGGUGACUCAAUGUUUGUCAUAGUUCGGUGGAGCGUGUGUGGUUUACCGGCACAUCGAAUAGGUGACUGUAACAUGUGAGGGCACCAUGUAAGUUUGCAUGGUUAUUCACACCCGCUUUGUGAUCCUCGGCAUCCCAGUCACAAACAAGAGGGGCAUAUCGAGAUUUAAACAUGCCAUUGAAAGUUCAAUGAAUCUCAAAGGAUCUAGGAGUUUUCAUAGAUUUAAAACUUAAAUUUCUUUUUCGUUUUUCAUGGUGGAAAUUAGUGAAUCGUCAUUCACUUACCUUCAAAUAUUCUGCAAUUAGGGUUACGGCAUCCCUCUCCCGAGUUGUAGAAUAUUGUGUUGGGUCCUAGCCUUAGUAUCUCAUUUGGGUGAUUUACUAAGGACUCAAUCAAUCAACUAACUUGAAUUCGUUUUCUCCCGUUUUGUAGAUGUCAAAGUUCGACAACUAUGGUCUUCCCAAAUCCCGUGGAACAAGCAUUCCACAUGAAGAUGAUAUUCCACGAUUCGAUCGAGGAACAAGAAAUCAUGCUUCACUUCCUCCUCCUCCUCCAAUUAUUCUCCCUAACCCACAAGUUCAAAGGCUUGAAAAGUUCAAGAUCACUCAAGCCCUUUUGGCAAGUAAACAUAAAGAAGGAAAGUCGGUGUGUGCACACGUCCUAGGGAUGAAGUCACACAUUGAUAGGUUAAGAAUGUUGGGAUCCGUUGUCUGUGAGGAAAUGGCUGUUGAUUGGGUUCUUCAGUCACUUCCUAACUCAUAUAGUGAGUUCGUAAGAGAGUACUAUAUGAUGAACCGCGACGUGACCCUUAUAGAUCUCACCUAUAUGCUUAUUGCUGCUGAAUCAGCAAUGGUUUGGCGCAAUAGAAAAGCAAAGUUGAUUGGUGAAUCUGCCUUCAAGACCUCUAUGGAUAUAGACAAUGGCAACGAAAGACAUGCUAUGAUCGAAAAGUUUGAUCAUAAGAGAAAGGCAAUGUCUGAAGUAGUUCCAUGUCAUGUUCCAAAAGAGUCAAUUUGCUUUUAUUGCCAAGAGAAAGGGCAUUGGAGACGAAGCUGCCCCAUUUACCUAAGAGAUCUAAGAGAUGGGAGAGUCGAAACGUAUGGCUCUAAUAUAGGUAAAAUCCAUUAACUAACUCUUUUAAGCUUCUAUUCUAGAUUCUUAAUACAUAAUGUGAUAAGAUUACAAUUGAUGUUUUGUAGGAUCGAAGAAAAGAAAGGAAGCUUAAGGGAAGAAGUGAGCAGAAUCUAACCGUGAAGGAAUGGAUUUCGAUCGCAUUUCUCGAAGAUUAGAUUCUUGAGCUACUACUUAGAGUUAGAAUUAGAUUGCUAAGAAAGAUGUAUUAGCAUAGUUUUUCAAUGAAUUGCAUUGUAAGGACAAAUUUUUUCCGCAAUAAAAUAAAUUUUGAUUUUAUAUUAUUUAUUUAUCCUUGCAAUGGCGUAUAUGAAAAAUUGAUGUUUGAAUGUUUCUAUUAUUAGCAAUAAUGGAUUUGGUUCUUAUUAUGUUAUUUAUGGAAAGUCGAGAGUUUACCAAAUAGGGAGAGUUUCUCAUCGCCCAAGUUUCAAUUGGACAGAAACUUGGAAUCAUGCAACUUGGUUGCACGAUGAAUGAGAAAUUUCAUAUUUGGAAAUUAGACUAAUUCAUUGACAAAGUGUCAAGUGAAGGACUAGGAGAUCGAGUACACAAAGUUGCGUGUUGAUCAAGUCCACCAUAAGAGUAACAAAGAUAUUCGUCAUGAUUUACUAAAGGUUUAGUAAAUAUGAUUAUACUUACAAGAUUAAGUGUAAUUCUGAAUUGAUUGAAAAAGUUUAAAUCAAUAGCAGAACGAAUAAGAAGAAUCAAGUAGGCAGAAAGAUAAAAGUUUCUCCAUUCUAAGAAGAAGGGAGAGUACCUUUUAUGCUUUAUGAUAGGUCUUAAUGAUUAAGAACCAUAUCUCAAUUGAUCCUCUAAGUGAGUCUUAGUACAAUUGUAUGUCUAAGAAGAGGAAUCAAGAAUUGAAGAAAUGGUUAAAUCAAGAAGUCAAUCAUACUUCGUUCCAAAACAAGUCUUAGAGUUAAGAUUGUGACAUUGAGUGAAAAGUAUUAAGAAGGUUUAUAACAUUCAUCAAAUGUGGAAAGUUGUGAUGUCUUGGAUAAGACAAAGACCAACUAGGACCAAUUUAUGAAGUGUUUUGAUAAAAGCUACACUAACUCUUGAAUAUUUGUUUGUCAAGAAAUGUUUAUUGACAAGAGAAUCUUAUAUGUCAAGGAGUCAGUGGGAGUCUUAAUGGUCUUGAAAGGUUUCAAGAACAAAUCAAAUAAACCUUAUCGAUCAUCACUAGCACACGAGUUGAGGUUUACAACCUAUCGUGUUGACAUUAUUUUGUUUCUGUGCCAAUCCAAUCGAGUUAAUUAUGCAUGUGAGUUCUAUGAGUUCUCAUUUUGAACGCAUAAAAGGCAAAGCACCUUAAUCAAUGAAAGGUACAUUGAUAGGAAAGGGUGAGCUGCUUAACUACUUGGAAGACAUGGUGGGCAGCUGUGCUACCAUAAGGCAAGAAAUCAAGAUUAAGAAAGUUCGGUCCAUAUGAGUUUGGAUUUGUCGCAAACUUUGGUUUUGACAAAUUCACAUGGAUAGGAACACAUACACCAUUAAAAUCUAAGUGUCAUAAGAUUCCCUCCUUCAUGAAAAUGACUGUGAGGAAAUGCUUUCACUAAGAGAGAUUUUAAGAAAAUAAUGAUUGUGAAAAUUGGAUUCUCGAAUUUGAUUAUGGUUACGGUAUCCUUUUCCAUGAUUUGAAUUGUGAGAUUUAGCAAUUAGUCUGAAUUGUUUAGACACACAUAUGAGCUAUCUAAGGAAAAAGUGUAUAAGCUUAGAUAAAGGAUUAUCAAAGCAUUAGGUAUUAGAAAUAUGAACAUAAGAAAUUCAAUUAGUAUUGUUUUUCUGGAAGUUAAGUUGGUUUAUGAAUACAUGUCAAAGCUAGUGGGAGCAUAAGUGUUAUGCUUAUAUGAUAAUAAUCAUCAUGAUAGUGGGAGCAUAAAUGUUAUGCUUGUAUGAUUAUUAUGGCAAGUAUUGCAAGUUAGCAAUAUUAAUUAUAGAAAACAAGAGUUAUACUUUGCAAAGUCGUAAGGGUUGAAAAGUUGUUUUGCUAUAAUUAAGGGAGAGAAUAUUAUGCUUCAUUUCAAAUCUAAAGGCUUAGGUUGUGGAAUGUUAAUAAAUUUAGUCAAGGAUACAUAGUGCGUUCUCAAAAUUUCGAUUAUGAUUAUGUCAUCCCUCUUCAUAAAUCGAAUUGUGAGAAUGUGACACAUAAAAUAUUAUGGCAAAAGAUUGAUAAAGUAUCAGAUCUUUAUGUAAGACAUUAUGCAUCGUGUCCUAUACGCCUCGAUUAAAGGAUCGAUUGCAAAUGCUAUAAUAUUUGUCCAUUCUAAAAUUUUCCAAAUGUCUAGCACAUUAAGAGGGAAAAAGGACAAGAAUCGGUUUUGACUAAGAUAAUUAAACAACUAUCAAAGGACGAUCCAAAGCUCGCUGAGGAUUGGUCGCUUGUGAGUAGUUGGAAGUAUGGUAUUGGAUGGACCAUAUCGACAUUAUUAUGAAUAGAUAAGAUUCUAUUAAGAAUGAGUUGUCAUAUGGCAAAUAUGGAAAUGUUUCCAUAUUGGGAGUUGGAUAUUGAGAAUCUAUGUCUAGAUUAGAAACUUUUAUGCAAGAAGGAUGUUCAAAGGAAUGUACUUUGAGUGAGAGACAUCAUAUCUAUAGAAUUGUUUCUGAUAGAGAUUGGCCAAGUCUUGAUGAUUUUGAGCUAUGACUUUACGAAAGAAUCAUUGCAUAAAAUGUUAGAAUCUAGCAUAAGUAACAAGAAUUUGAUAUUCUUAUACUUAUGAUAAGGAUUGGGAGUUGUGAAAUGAGUAUGAUUGGAAAUGUGUUCAUUUGAUCUAUUUCACAAAGUAAGGACCGUAGGUAAACAUUGUGUGCAUGCUAAGAGCAUGGGACAAGUGUUGUAAUAAUUCAAGUAAGAAGUUGAUUACCCGAAACAACAAAUAAUGAGUAAUCGAUAUGGUGAUAAAUAAAAGGUGUUUUAUUUAUACUCAAAGGUUUGAGGCCAUAUGGGAUUAGUAUUAUUCUUGUGUUUCACUUUGCAUGUUUUGACUUCCUGAAUAAUUAAAUUGGUUGAGAACAAUCAAAUUAUUCAAACGGACCACAGUCGUUCAUAUGUUGGAAGUAGGUAUGAAUGAAGACUGUCGUGAAUUGGUGUGUGGAUUGUCUAAAGUGUAUUAGACAUAAGCAAAUGUUUGCUGCAACGUUCAUGAGUGCUUAUGAAUAUGAUUUGAGCAUUGGAUUAAACCCACGCUCACUUGGAUCACUCCAUGAAUUGUAUCACGAGUGAUUGGUGAGACGAUAACAUCUUAUAUUCUUGAAACCGAGAUGUGUGAGUUGUAUCUUGCAAAUCGGUUGCACAUUGAUAAUAUGUAAACGCACUAGUAACUUGGUGUUAUAAAACAUAUUGUUGUGUGUGAUUCGGUAAGUGAGUGCAAGCAAGCAUUGAGUCAAAGUUUAUCCGUUCCUUUUAUCCCAAGUAAGAUAAAAGCGAUAUCUUUGGGCCUCUGGAUGAUUUAGUGAUGGCACCUAAGCGCUUGGCCAAGCCGGGACUAAUUUGAUGAGAUCAAUUGUAGUCUGUUGUCAGUCGUCAUAAAUUGGAAGUCGGGAAAUAGUAUAAAGAGAAUGAUUAAGUUCAUGUCUCAUAUCUAUAUGAUAUCUAGAAUGGAGGAAUAUAUGAUCCCUUAUCUAAGGACACGCGUAUCUGAUAGGAUCAGAGUUGACAGCGGCUUUGGAAAGCUACGAUUGCAGAUCAGGAUCUGAAGUCAUACGCAGAAUAGUUAUUAGACUUAUCCAAGUGGGAGACUGUUGGAUUAGUGUCUAAGUCCAUAACUAUUUUGGUAUGUACUUGACCCGAUGGUGCAUGGUCCUUUUGGGUUGCCUUCACCAAAGCAACUUGAUAGGAUGAAUUAUGGAGAGAAAGGAUUAAAUAUGAUUUAUUAAUAUAUUAUGAGAAUAAUAUAUUAAAGGAGAAAUCAUAUUGUUUAAUUAAUAUUAGUCAAGAAUUAAUUGGUAAUUAGUUUUGUGGCUAAAAGAGAUUAAUUAAACUUAAGGGACUGGAAUUGUAAUUAUAAGAUAAUUGCAAUUGGGCUAUGGAUUACCUUAUAAUAUAAGGUUGGACGAAUUCUAUGGGGAAACCCAUUAGAAAUCGUCCAGGGCUUAUUAAAGAAGGGUCCAUGGGCUGCUUAGGGCUUAAGCAGUCAGUUUAGGGUUUCCUAGUUCAAAACCCUAAUAGCCUACAUGUAUAUAAAGGACCCUUAAGCCCCAAAAACGUGGUGGACAUGUUCCUUAGGGUUUUCACACGUUUUGGGCAGCCUCCUUCUCUUCUCCUCUUCAUCCUCUUGCUCUUGGUGUUUGUGAACCAUUAGAGGAGUGACAUUUGUGACUCUAAGCUUUCUAAAGUCAUUACAAUGAGGAUUUGAUAUUGUUAUUGCUACAUAACAAUCAAGGUAAUAUCUUAAACCCUAUUUUGUGUUAAUAUGAUUAAUUGCAUGCUAGAUCUAGGGUUUAUAGCUUUGGAUAUUCAAUUGCAUGUUCAUUAGACAAACUAGAUCCAAAAGCUAUUAGGGUUUGCAUGUACACCAUAGGAAUGAUGUAUAGUCUAAAACCCAUCAGAAACCAUCUCGCCAGUAGCGAAGAUUAAGUCUAUUAGGGUUAUGCUAGCCAUAGCUGCAUUUCAUGAUUAUGAAAUAUCGAAAAUGGAUGUCAAACCCGCUUUCCUUAAUGAAAAGUUGGCUGAGGAUGUUUACAUGAGUCAGCCAUAGGGUUUUGUCGAUGCAAAGUACCCUAAUAGAGUGAGUAAGCUUGAGAAAUCGAUUUAUGGAUUAAAACAAGAAUCCUCAGAUGGAAUAUUUGUUUCGAUGAGAAAGUCAAAGAGUUUGGAUUUUCGAGAAGCGAGGAUGAGUCAUGUGUAUAUGUCAAAGCUAGUGGGAGUACAGUUAGCUUUCUGGUGUUGUAUGUGGAUGACAUACUUCUCAUAGGAAAUGACAUACCAACCUUGCAGGAGGUUAAGUCCUGGCUUGGGAAGUGUUUCACUAUAAAGGACCUUAGAGAAGAUGCCUAUAUUCUUGGGAUAAGGAUAUUGAGAGACAGGAUUCAGAGACUAAUUGGACUUAGUCAAAGUAGCUACUUAGAAAAGGUGUUCAAAAGAUUCAGCAUGAUGGAUUCCAAGACAGGUGACUUACCGAUCCAGAGCAAUGCUAUGCUGAGUAAAACUCAGAGUCCGAGUACAGAGGCUGAGAUAGAUGAUAUGAGUCGAGUACCAUAUGCUUCCGUUGUUGGCUCGAUCAUGUAUGCU
rnacentral:lncRNA from 1 species